ACGGGGUGCAGCAGGCGCGAAAACUUUGCAAUGUGCGAAAGCACGACAAGGUUAAUCCGAGUGGUUUCUGCUAAAGGAACCUUUUGACAGUCCUAGAAACACUGUUGAAUAAGGGGUGGGCAAGUUCUGGUGUCAGCCGCCGCGGUAAAACCAGCACCUCAAGUGGUCAGGAUGAUUAUUGGGCCUAAAGCAUCCGUAGCCGGCUCUGUAAGUUUUCGGUUAAAUCUGUACGCUCAACGUACAGGCUGCCGGGAAUACUGCAGAGCUAGGGAGUGGGAGAGGUAGACGGUACUCGGGAGGAAGUGGUAAAAUGCUUUGAUCUUUCGAUGACCACCUGUGGCGAAGGCGGUCUACCAGAACACGUCCGACGGUGAGGGAUGAAAGCUGGGGGAGCAAACCGGAUUAGAUACCCGGGUAGUCCCAGCUGUAAACUAUGCAAACUCAGUGAUGCAUUGGCUUGUGGCCAAUGCAGUGUUGCAGGGAAGCCGUUAAGUUUGCCGCCUGGAAGUACGUA
rnacentral:rRNA from 1 species